rnacentral:misc_RNA from 1 species
GAUGAAGAACGUAGCGAAAUGCGAUACGUAAUGUGAAUUGCAGAAUCCAGUGAAUCAUCGAAUCUUUGAACGCACAUUGCACUCCUUGGUAUUCCGAGGAGUAUGCCUGUUUCAGUAUCAUGAGCACUCUCACAUCUAACCUUUGGGUUAAAAUGUGGAAUUGGGAUGCGCCGGUUAUUAUAACGGCCCUCCUAAAAUUCAGUUCUUGGCUGCUUCCUACUACAGCAGUUUGGCCUAAUAGUUUUGAGUCUUCGAUUCAAAUCUUUGGCUAACAUUUGCUUCAGGAUGUCAGUCUUGAUAUACAGAAAUCUCAUUCAAACUUUGAUCUGAAAUCAGGUAGGGCUACCCGCUGAACUUAAGCAUAUCAAUAAGCGGAGGA